UACGGAGGAUCCAAGCGUUGUCCGGAUUCAUUGGGUUUAAAGGGUGCGUAGGCGGGCUAUUAAGUCAGAGGUGAAAUCUUGCGGCUCAACCGUAAAAUUGCCUUUGAAACUGGUAGCCUUGAAUUCGGUCGAGGUGGAUGGAAUGUGUCAUGUAGCGGUGAAAUGCUUAGAUAUGACCCAGAACACCAAUUGCGAAGGCAGUUCACUAGACCGACAUUGACGCUGAGGCACGAAAGCGUGGGUAGCGAACAGG
rnacentral:rRNA from 1 species